AAUAUCGUGAUAAAAAACAGAAACUUUAAAAUUAAUGAAGGAAAACUUAAUGUCAUUCUCUUUUAACGAAUAUCUCAGUUAAAAUCACAUCUCAUCUUAUCGAGAAAUUCAACGGAAGACCUACUCGUUGCUCGCAACGAGAUCUCAUCUAGUUAUGUCGCCCCGAACGAAGUCGGGGACGACAUAUUGAUAUUGUACGCAUGUUUUUUUUAUCCAGGCUGUUUCUCGGAGAUGGCUGGGACAAUCUUCCUGAAACUUUCCUCAAAGGACGAUCACUGGUUGUAGUUGUGCAGUGAGGUCAUUCAGUUCCAAUAUGUCUACCGUUGCCAUGGAAACCUGUAAAAAGCGACAAAUUUUGUCCGAGAGUGUUCUCUCUGGUCCCUUAAACGCUCGUCAUGAAACUUUUCUUAUUUUAAGGAUUAGUAUCUGUAGUUGUGUACUACGCAUUUAAAAUUUUCAAAUAAUUGAUUAUUACCAUGGAAACCAGGCUGUUUCUCGGAGAUGGCUGGGACAAUCUUCCUGAAACUUUCCUCAAAGGACGAUCACUGGUUGUAGUUGUGCAGUGAGGUCAUUCAGUUCCAAUAUGUCUACCGUUGCCAUGGAAACCUGUAAAAAGCGACAAAUUUUGUCCGAGAGUGUUCUCUCUGGUCCCUUAAACGCUCGUCAUGAAACUUUUCUUAUUUUAAGGAUUAGUAUCUGUAGUUGUGUACUACGCAUUUAAAAUUUUCAAAUAAUUGAUUAUUACCAUGGAAACCAGGCUGUUUCUCGGAGAUGGCUGGGACAAUCUUCCUGAAACUUUCCUCAAAGGACGAUCACUGGUUGUAGUUGUGCAGUGAGGUCAUUCAGUUCCAAUAUGUCUACCGUUGCCAUGGAAACCUGUAAAAAGCGACAAAUUUUGUCCGAGAGUGUUCUCUCUGGUCCCUUAAACGCUCGUCAUGAAACUUUUCUUAUUUUAAGGAUUAGUAUCUGUAGUUGUGUACUACGCAUUUAAAAUUUUCAAAUAAUUGAUUAUUACCAUGGAAACCAGGUGAGAGUUAAAAUUCUUUAAUUUCGAUUUUCUCAAUAACUACUCAGGCAAUCGUUUUGAAACUUUCAAUGUUUAUUCCUUGCAAUGUGUCAAAGUGAUUUCUACUUUCAAAAUAAUUGUAAUGAGUCGCUCACAGUUGCCAUAGAAACGAAACAGAAAAAAAGAUUCAGAUGUACACAUGUGUUCUCCAAGGUCCAGGUCAAAGGGUCAA